rnacentral:rRNA from 1 species
UCCUUUUGUAGAUAAUUUAAGGUCUAGCCUGCCCACUGAAAUUUUAAAUGGCCGUGGUAUUUUGACCGUGCUAAGGUAGCAUAAUCAUUAGUUUUUUAAUUAAAAACUGGAAUGAAAGGUUGGAUGAGAAAAUAGCUGUCUCUAUUAAAUGUAAUUAGAAUUUUAUUUUUAAGUUAAAAAGCUUAAUUAUUAUUAAAAGACGAGAAGACCCUAUAGAGUUUGAUUGUUUAAUAAAAAUUAUAUUUUAGUAUUAAUUUAUUUAUUUUAUUAUAUAAUUUAAUUGGGGUGAUUGAAAAAUUUAAUUAACUUUUUUUAUUUAAGAACAUUAAUUUAUGAAUAAAUGAUCCAAUAUUUUUGAUUAUAAGAUAAAAUUACCUUAGGGAUAACAGCGUAAUUUUUUUAGAAAGUUCGUAUUAAAAAAAAAGAUUGCGACCUCGAUGUUGGAUUAAAAUAAAUUUUUGGUGUAGAAGCUAAAAUAUUAGGUCUGUUCGACCUUUAAAAUUUUACAUGAU